CUUUUAAAGGAUAAUAGUAAUCCAUUGAUUUUAGGAACCAAACAUUCCUGGUGCAAUUCCAAGUAAAAGC
rnacentral:tRNA from 1 species